AGAGUUCGAUUAUGGCUCAGGAUGAACGCUGGCGGCGUGCUUAACACAUGCAAGUCGAACGAAGCACUUUAAUUGAUUUCUUCGGAAUGAAGUUUUUGUGACUGAGUGGCGGACGGGUGAGUAACGCGUGGGUAACCUGCCUCAUACAGGGGGAUAACAGUUGGAAACGGCUGCUAAUACCGCAUAAGCGCACAGAGCUGCAUGGCUCGGUGUGAAAAACCCCGGUGGUAUGGGAUGGGCCCGCGUCUGAUUAGGCAGUUGGCGGGGUAACGGCCCACCAAACCGACGAUCAGUAGCCGGCCUGAGAGGGCGACCGGCCACAUUGGGACUGAGACACGGCCCAA
rnacentral:rRNA from 1 species